GCCGUGGACUUCGGGGGAGUGAGAAUGCAGACAUGAGUAGCGAGAGACGGGUGAGGAUCCCGUCCGCUGGAUGACCAAGGGUUCCGGGGCCACGUUCGUCGUCCCCGGGUGAGUCGGGUCCUAAGGCGAGGCCGACAGGCGUAGUCGAAUGGAUGAACGGGUGGAUAUUCCCGUACCGGCAGCGAACCGCAAGAGCCGAACGGAUGAGUACUAACCUCCGGUCGCGUG
rnacentral:rRNA from 1 species